UGGAAAGGCAAGAAAAGCAAAGGCUCCCUGA
rnacentral:piRNA from 1 species